rnacentral:rRNA from 1 species
CACGUAGGGUGCGAGCGUUGUCCGGAAUUAUUGGGCGUAAAGAGCUCGUAGGCGGUGUGUCGCGUCGGCCGUGAAAACCUGCAGCUCAACUGUGGGCUUGCGGUCGAUACGGGCAUCACUGGAGUUCGGCAGGGGAGACUGGGAUUCCUGGUGUAGCGGUGAAAUGCGCAGAUAUCCGGAGGAACACCGGUGGCGAAGGCGGAUCUCUGGGCCGAUACUGACGCUGAGGAGCGAAAGCGUGGGGAGCGAACAGG